rnacentral:misc_RNA from 1 species
CCAAUAGCGUAUAUUAAAGUUGUUGCAGUUAAAAAGCUCGUAGUUGAAUUUCGAGAUCGGCUUACUGGUCGUGCUUUUGUACGUACUGGUAAAUCGGUUUCUCCUUUCUGACGAACUUUAAUGCCAUUAAUUUGGUGUUUUAGGGAAUCAGGACUGUUACUUUGAAAAAAUUAGAGUGUUUAAAGCAGGCUCACGCUUGAAUACAUUAGCAUGGAAUAACGGAAUAGGACGUUUGAUUCUAUUUUGUUGGUUUCUAGGAUCGACGUAAUGAUUAAUAGGGAUAGUUGGGGGCAUUAGUAUUCAAUUGUCAGAGGUGAAAUUCUUGGAUUUAUUGAAGACUAACUACUGCGAAAGCAUUUGCCAAGGAUGUUUUCAUUAAUCAAGAACGAAAGUUAGGGGAUCGAAGACGAUCAGAUACCGUCGUAGUCUUAACCAUAAACUAUGCCGACUAGGUAUCGGAUGAUGUUAAUUUUUUAAUGACUCGUUUGGCACCUUACG